rnacentral:rRNA from 1 species
ACACAUGCAAGUCGAACGAGCGAGAGAGAGCUUGCUUUCUCGAGCGAGUGGCGAACGGGUGAGUAACGCGUGAGGAACCUGCCUCAAAGAGGGGGACAACAGUUGGAAACGACUGCUAAUACCGCAUAAGCCCCACGGGGUCGGCAUCGACCAGAGGGAAAAGGAGCAAUCCGCUUUGAGAUGGCCUCGCGUCCGAUUAGCUAGUUGGUGAGGUAAUGGCCCACCAAGGCAACGAUCGGUAGCCGGACUGAGAGGUUGAACGGCCACAUUGGGACUGAGACACGGCCCAGACUCCUACGGGAGGCAGCAGUGGGGAAUAUUGCACAAUGGGGGAAACCCUGAUGCAGCGACGCCGCGUGGAGGAAGAAGGUCUUCGGAUUGUAAACUCCUGUUGUUGAGGAAGAUAAUGACGGUACUCAACAAGGAAGUGACGGCUAACUACGUGCCAGCAGCCGCGGUAAAACGUAGGUCACAAGCGUUGUCCGGAAUUACUGGGUGUAAAGGGAGCGCAGGCGGGAAGACAAGUUGGAAGUGAAAUCCAUGGGCUCAACCCAUGAACUGCUUUCAAAACUGUUUUUCUUGAGUAGUGCAGAGGUAGGCGGAAUUCCCGGUGUAGCGGUGGAAUGCGUAGAUAUCGGGAGGAACACCAGUGGCGAAGGCGGCCUACUGGGCACCAACUGACGCUGAGGCUCGAAAGUGUGGGUAGCAAACAGGAUUAGAUACCCUGGUAGUCCACACCGUAAACGAUGAUUACUAGGUGUUGGAGGAUUGACCCCUUCAGUGCCGCAGUUAACACAAUAAGUAAUCCACCUGGGGAGUACGACCGCAAGAUUGAAACUCAAAGGAAUUGACGGGGGCCCGCACAAGCAGUGGAGUAUGUGGUUUAAUUCGACGCAACGCGAAGAACCUUACCAAGUCUUGACAUCCCUUGACGAUGCUGGAAACAGUAUUUCUCUUCGGAGCAAGGAGACAGGUGGUGCAUGGUUGUCGUCAGCUCGUGUCGUGAGAUGUUGGGUUAAGUCCCGCAACGAGCGCAACCCUUAUGGUCAGUUACUACGCAAGAGGACUCUGGCCAGACUGCCGUUGACAAAACGGAGGAAGGUGGGGAUGACGUCAAAUCAUCAUGCCCUUUAUGACUUGGGCUACACACGUACUACAAUGGCGUUAAACAAAGAGAAGCAAGACCGCGAGGUGGAGCAAAACUCAGAAACAACGUCCCAGUUCGGACUGCAGGCUGCAACUCGCCUGCACGAAGUCGGAAUUGCUAGUAAUCGUGGAUCAGCAUGCCACGGUGAAUACGUUCCCGGGCCUUGCACUCACCGCCCGUCA